AGUGAACGCUGGCGGUAGGCCUAACACAUGCAAGUCGAACGGCAGCACAGUAAUAGCUUGCUCUUACGGGUGGCGAGUGGCGGACGGGUGAGGAAUACAUCGGAAUCUACUUUUUCGUGGGGGAUAACGUAGGGAAACUUACGCUAAUACCGCAUACGACCUACGGGUGAAAGCAGGGGAUCUUCGGCCCUUGCGCGAUUGAAUGAGCCGAUGUCGGAUUAGCUAGUUGGCGGGGUAACGGCCCACCAAGGCGACGAUCCGUAGCUGGUCUGAGGGGAUGACCAGCCACACUGGAACUGAGACACGGCCCAGACCCCUACGGGAGGCAGCAGUGGGAAAUAUUGGACAAGGGGGGCAACCCUGAUCCAGCCAUACCGGGGGGGUGAAGAAGGCCUUCGGGUUGUAAAGACCUUUUGUUGGGAAAGAAAAGCAGCAGGUUAAUACCCCGCUGUUCGGAGGGUACCCAAAGAAUAAGCACCGGCAAACUUCGG
rnacentral:rRNA from 1 species